UUUUUUUUUUUUUCUGUAGUCUUUCUCAUCUUAGUAAAUAGUAACUCAAUCCCUCAAGUUGCAGGGGUUAAAACUUUAAAUUUACCCUUGGUUCUUUCUUUCUCUCACAUCUCAUAUCUCUUGGUUUGACAUUCAAAAACUAUUCUUCAUCCAGACACACCCAUUCCACUGUCUUCUAUUAUUUCCUCUUGAAUUCAUGAUACUAUCACCUAUUGUCUGUAUUAUUGCAAUUGUCUCUGAUUUAAACAGAAACCAGAAUGGCCUUCUUAAGAGGUAAGAUUAUGUCACUCCUCUGUUCACAAUCCUCCAAUGGCUUACCUUCUCAUUCGAGAGUAAAAGUUAAAAUCUGAGGGAGUUCCACGGUGGUUUGAUGGUUAGGAUCAGGCACUCUUACUGCUGUGGCACGAGUUCAGUCCCUUAUUUGGUAACUGAGAUCCUGCAUCAAGCCACUGUACACCACAGCCAAGAAGAAAAAAAAAAAGUUAAUUUCUGAGCUCUGCCACAUCAUUGACCUCAUUUUCUCCAUCUCUCUCCCUCAUAUAUUUCAUGCCAGUCAUGUGGACUUCAUGAUAUUUUAACUUGUCCUGUAAGCUCUGUAGGGUCUCUGCACUUCAUGAUCCAUCUAUCUGGAAUGCCUUUCUUCCAAUUGUCAUAAAGCUUGCUCUCUUUAUUUCCUUUGGCUCUCUACCCAAAAGUCCAUGAGAUUUUUACCAUCCAUCUCCAGCACACCCUGUCUCCCUUAUCUGUCUUUAUUUUUCUCCAUAGUACUCAUUGCCAUCAUACAUUGUUUAUUUUCUACUUUCCUCCGAAUAUAAGCACCAUAAGAGCAGGAAUUUUGGCUGUUGUAUUUAUUGCUGAAUCUCAGCAUCUAGAACAGAGGUUGGCACAUGGAAGGUGCUCCAUAUCUGUGAGUAAAUUGCCUCUCCCUCUCUUAUUAAGCAUUAUCUAGGUUUACUUUUUGCAGUUCAUUUUUAUCUUAUGAAUUCUAAAUUCUACUUUUAUUCCAUACUCAAUUUUUAAAUUAAAAGAAGAAACAGAAGCAAUUAAUGUUGGUGUAGUUUCUCCUAUUUCAUUUCCUUUCUUGGACUUGAACAUUUUAUCAAAUACAAUUAAGUACCUUGCCAAUAAUUUACUUAUGAAGAAAGUAAGACUUCCAGAAGAGGGUCUGGGUAGUUAAUCUUAUCACUAGUAUUUUCUCCUGACUCUUUGCCAAUUUUACAAUCUGUAUCAAUGGGGAUUAUUUUACUUCCUCCUCCUUUCUUUCCUGUAGAGAGCUGAAGUGAACUGUGGGCUUUUUUCUUCCCUAUUUACUCACUUGGCCCCUGGGGGGUUAGGGGGCUGAUAAAUUAGCCAAAGCAAACUGGCAUGUUUGUCUCAUGUCUGCCCUUACUUCACUUAAGAGUGAGCCUGCCCACAGAGAGUUUAAAUUUUCUUUUGCUCAUCCUUGCUGUAAGCAGAUAUAAACCUUAAAACCAUCCUUGCCUGUGAGUACCUGGCCUCAUCUUCCCACUUGAGAAAUGCAAUUUAUUGGGCUUCCUUCCUUGCUUUUUGCUUUUUAAAGCUGCACCUGUGGCACAUGGAAGUUCCCAGUCCAUGUAUAGGGUAUGUAUGGCAUAGAGUCCUAUCCUGCCUUCCUUCAAUUACCUUUGUGCAUUUAGAAUACAUUAUAGUUUCCAUUAUUAUUUCACAUCAUUUUCUAAGCCUUAUUAUUUAGGAUGAGGUUCUAUUUAUCACUUUAUGUAAUUAGAUUUAUUUUAUAAUCCAUUGCUUGCACUUUGGUAUAUAGAUAUCUGAGAUUAUGAUGUUACUGAUCCAUUUGCUCAUGACUUUCUCAUAUGACCUAUUGGAACUUCAUCAUUAUUUUAUGUCAUAUUGACAUACUCCAUAAUAAUGAUUUUCAAAC
rnacentral:lncRNA from 1 species